rnacentral:lncRNA from 1 species
UUAGGGACUCUCUGGACCUGCUAAGGUCCAGAUCUAGGCACCAUACCCCCAUGGGACCUCUCACACUUCAAGUACAAGGCAAACAAGGCAUGAAGAAACCCUAGAUCUAACCAUAUCAACCAAAAACACAGAAAUAAGCUCUGAAUGAUACCUCAAGAAGCUCCCCUGACGAAAUGGAAGUAGAUCCAAGCUCCCCAACUCUUCUAGCUUGACUUUCCCCUUCCUUUCUUGCAAUUACACACAAAUUUAGUGAAUAAUGGCCUCUUAUCUCACUCACAGGAAUCCUCAGCUGCUUUGGGUGCUCUCAAGGUCAAGGUAGCCGCAAUAAAGGGCCAUAAGGUCUUUUAAAUAAGGCUUAGGACCGGGGAAUUAGGGUUCCAUUAAACAGCGCGGACUCCCUGAGUCCAUUCCUUGGACUCGCCGAGUCCAGGCGCGAACCCGCGUCCAGAACCGCGAUCCUACUCGGCGAGUUUGAGCUCCAACUCGCCGAUUCCCCUCACAAAACACCAAAAAUAUAUGAAUAAAAGGUACCUGAAAAUCCGGGCUGUUAAAAAAAAGAGUCAAAAUCCUGAAGAACUCGACGAGUUGGAUGCCCACUCGACGAGUUCACACGAACAUUCGCGAAGUAAUAGAAGUCCUUUCCGUACACAGAUUUUUAAUUAGGGACUCGGCGAGUCAGUUACUGGACUCGACGAGUAUCCUAUGUUUUCAGAAAUCUAUAAAUAGAAGUCAAUCGCCCGAAACCAAACCCUUCUCUGGAACCCUUGGGGAUUAAAUUGCGACUGGAGAUGCAGCCGGAUCUCUGGAACUCGUGGAACAAUCCUAUCUUUCAAUUUUGAGAAGUUCAAAGGCAAUUUAAGUUUGCUCUUUACUUAAUCUUUUGUUUGAACUAUGUGUGAACUAUUAGAUUUCGUUUUUGAGCUANUAGUCUCCAUCCCAAAUGGGAGGACAUAAAGCAUGGCAUUAGGGACUAUCUGGACCUGCUAAGGUCCAGAUCUAGGCACCAUACCCCCAUGGGACCUCUCACACUUCAAUUACAAAGCAAACAAGGCAUGAAGAAACCCUAGAUCUAACCAUAUCAACCAAAAGCAUAGAAAUAAGCUCUGAAUGAUACCUCAAGAAGCUCCCCUGACGAAAUGGAAGUAGAUCCAAGCUCCCCAACUCUUCUAGCUUGACUUUCCCCUUCCUUUCUUGCAAUUACACACAAAUUUGGUGAAUAAUGGCCUCUUAUCUCACUCACAAGAAUUCUCAGCUGCUUUGGUGCUCUCAAGAUCAAGGUAGCCGC